rnacentral:tRNA from 1 species
UGGCUCAGUUGGGAGAGCAUGGUGUGUGCAACGCCAGGGUUGUGGGUUCAAUUCCCAC